rnacentral:rRNA from 1 species
CACGUAGGGCGCAAGCGUUGUCCGGAAUUAUUGGGCGUAAAGCGCGCGCAGGCGGUCCUUUAAGUCUGAUGUGAAAGCCCACGGCUCAACCGUGGAGGGUCAUUGGAAACUGGGGGACUUGAGUACAGAAGAGAAGAGUGGAAUUCCACGUGUAGCGGUUGAAAUGCGUAGAGAUGUGGAGGAACACCAGUGGCGAAGGCGAACUCUUUGGUCUGUAACUGACGCUGAGGCGCGAAAGCGUGGGGAGCAAACAGG